AGGGCGCAUGGUGAAUGCCUUGGCAUCAGGAGCCGAUGAAGGACGUGAUAAGCUGCGAUAAGCUUCGGGUAGGCGCACAUAGCCUGAGAUCCGAAGAUCUCCGAAUGAGGAAACUCACAUGGGAAACCCCAUGUAUCAUUAAGUGAAUACAUAGCUUAAUGAAGGUAACCCAGGGAACUGAAACAUCUAAGUACCUGGAGGAAGAGAAAGAAAAAUCGAUUUUCUUAGUAGCGGCGAGCGAAAGGGAAAGAGCCCAAACCGGAAACUUGUUUCCGGGGUUGUGGACAUAGCAUAAAAGUGGAGGCUAUUGUAACUGAAGAGAACUGGAAAGUUCCACCGUAGAAGGUAAUAGUCCUGUAAGUGAAACGAGAAGACCACGAGUUAUGAUCCAGAGUACCACGAGACACGUGAAACCUUGUGGGAAGCAGGGAGGACCACCUCCCAAGGCUAAAUACUACCUGAUGACCGAUAGUGAAGCAGUACCGUGAGGGAAAGGUGAAAAGAACCCCGGGAGGGGAGUGAAAUAGAACCUGAAACCGUGUGCCUACAACCGCUCAGAGCCCCUUAUGAGGGUGAUGAGGUGCUUUUUGUAGAACGAGCCAACGAGUUACGGUAUGUAGCAAGGUUAAGUACUUAAGGUACGGAGCCGAAGGGAAACCGAGUCUGAAUAGGGCGACUAGUUGCAUGCCGUAGACCCGAAACCGGGUGACCUAUCCAUGGCCAGGUUGAAGCGAGGGUAAAACCUCGUGGAGGACCGAACCACGUUGCUGUUGAAAAAGCAUGGGAUGAGCUGUGGAUAGCGGAGAAAUUCCAAUCGAACCCGGAGAUAGCUGGUUCUCUCCGAAAUAGCUUUAGGGCUAGCGUCGAGUAUGAGUAGUGGAGGUAGAGCACUGAAUGGGCUAGGGGGCAUAGCGCUUACCGAACCUUAUCAAACUCCGAAUGCCACAUACUUUGAGCUCGGCAGUCAGACUACGAAUGAUAAGAUCCGUGGUCAAAAGGGAAACAGCCCAGAUCGUCAGCUAAGGUCCCAAAGUGUAAGUUAAGUGGGAAAGGAUGUGAGAUUUCUAAGACAACUAGGAUGUUGGCUUAGAAGCAGCCAUUCAUUAAAAGAGUGCGUAAUAGCUCACUAGUCGAGAGAUCUUGCGCCGAAAAUGUAACGGGGCUAAACUUACCACCGAAGCUACGGGCUUGAACUUAGUUCAAGCGGUAGGAGAGCGUCGUAACCGGGCUGAAGUCGUACCGUAAGGAGCGGUGGACUGGUUACGAGUGAGAAUGUUGGCAUCAGUAGCGAGAUGUGGGUGAGAAUCCCACAGGCCGAAAACCUAAGGUUUCCUCAGGAAGGUUCGUCCGCUGAGGGUUAGUCGGGACCUAAGCCGAGGCCGAAAGGCGUAGGUGAUGGACAACUGGUUGAUAUUCCAGUACCACUACCAUCGUUAUUAUCGAUGGCGUGACGCAGGAGGAUAGUGUGUGCUAGCUAUUGGAUGCUAGUCUAAGCGUUUAGGCAGUGAGAGUAGGCAAAUCCGCUCUCAUAAUGCUGAGGCGUGAUGGGGAAGGUUCUACGGAACCGAAGUACAUGAUUCCACGCUGCCAAGAAAAGCGUCUAGAGAGAGAAGUAGUGCCCGUACCGCAAACCGACACAGGUAGGUGAGGAGAGAAUCCUAAGGCCGGCGGAAGAAUUACAGUUAAGGAACUCGGCAAAUUGACCCCGUAAGUUCGCGAGAAGGGGUGCCUACGAGAGUAGGCCGCAGAGAAUAGGCCCAAGCAACUGUUUAGCAAAAACACAGGUCUCUGCUAAAGCGUAAGCUGAUGUAUAGGGGCUGACGCCUGCCCGGUGCUGGAAGGUUAAGGGGAACACUUAGCGCAAGCGAAGGUGUGAACUUAAGCCCCAGUAAACGGCGGCCGUAACUAUAACGGUCCUAAGGUAGCGAAAUUCCUUGUCAGGUAAGUUCUGACCCGCACGAAUGGCGUAAUGACUUGGGCACUGUCUCAACUGUAAAUCCGGCGAAGUUGUAGUGCGAGUGAAGAUGCUCGCUACCCGCGAUUGGACGGAAAGACCCCGUAGAGCUUUACUGUAGCUUAGCAUUGAGUUUUGGUAUUGUCUGUACAGGAUAGGUGGGAGACUAGGAAACCAGGGCGUCAGCCUUGGUGGAGUCAACCUUGGGAUACCACCCUGACAGUACUGAAAUUCUAACUGGCGGCCAUGAAUCUGGUCACAGGACAUUGUUAGGUGGGCAGUUUGACUGGGGCGGUCGCCUCCUAAAAAGUAACGGAGGCGCCCAAAGGUUCCCUCAGAACGGUCGGAAAUCGUUCGAAGAGUGCAAAGGCAGAAGGGAGCCUGACUGCGACACCCACAAGUGGAGCAGGGACGAAAGUCGGGCUUAGUGAUCCGGUGGUACCUCGUGGGAGGGCCAUCGCUCAACGGAUAAAAGCUACCUCGGGGAUAACAGGCUGAUCUCCCCCAAGAGUCCACAUCGACGGGGAGGUUUGGCACCUCGAUGUCGGCUCGUCGCAUCCUGGGGCUGAAGUAGGUCCCAAGGGUUGGGCUGUUCGCCCAUUAAAGCGGCACGCGAGCUGGGUUCAGAACGUCGUGAGACAGUUCGGUCCCUAUCCGUCGCGGGCGUAGGAAAUUUGAGAGGA
rnacentral:rRNA from 1 species